AGAGAAUCGCUUGAACCCAGGAGGCAGAGGUUGCAGUGAGCUGAGAUCGUGUCACUGAACUCUAGCCUGGGCAACAGAG
rnacentral:snRNA from 1 species